rnacentral:lncRNA from 1 species
ACGUAAUUUGUUUUUAAAAUAAAAUGACUUCUUUUUUAAAUGGUCAGAGGAGAAUAAGCAAAUAAAACUUGAUUUGAAUUCUUUCCCUAAACCUGUUCACAAAUGAGGGGCUCUUUUGGAUUAUAAUCCACAUUCUAAUUUCUAGUGAGUCAUCCUUCCUUACUAUGACACAUAAUACAAACAGAAUGUAAGGACUCAUCCUUCAGCUAAUGCAUUGUUUAGAAACUUAGUAAGUGAAUAAAAGCACGUGGCCACGAGGACACAAGAAUAUCUAAGCGCUGCAGAAACAGCCACACAAUUUGUUCCUUGAUUUAUUGCAUCUUUGGCAGGCAAUGCUCUGAGCUUUCAUGCAUAUAUGGGCAAUUGGGGCAUCUGUGAUGAAGUGCUGUUGACAGAAGUAUGGCCCGCGGUAACAUGAUUGCUAUAAUAAGGAACCAUGAGAGCCUUUCGCCUCUAGCCAUGAUUCUGAGAACUUCCCAGCCAUGUGGAACUGCCAUGUACAAGUAUAUUUUUUCAUUACAAAUAAUUCAAGAAAAAGAAACCAUUGAAGAUAAAUGAAACAUUGUAUUACAUUUUAUGCCAGUGAGAUUGAAGGCAAUCAACACAUUCAUUUCAAAUUGAUAUUUUCAGAGUGCUGGAAAGAACCAUGUAAGGUACUUGCCCUAACUCCAGUCACGGGAGUUGUACUCAGAUGUACUCAGAAGUUGUUCAGACACAAUGCAAGGAGCCUGGUCACCAUGGUCUCCUGUCACCAUGGAAGAUGGGGCUAGCCCCAUGGUACAAGAGAAGAUUUUUGAUGUUCAUAACACAAAGAAAUAAUAAAUGAGGAGACACGUGUUAAUUAUCCUGAUUUCAGUAUUACACACUGUAUACAUGUAUCAAAAUAUCACUCUGUAUGCCUAUUUUGCCAAAAAAAUUGUUUAAAAAGAAGCCAGUUUAACUAGAAAUAUGAAGUAACUAUUGAAUUGUUCUAUUUACAAUGAAAUAAAUUGUAAUCACG